rnacentral:rRNA from 1 species
UACAGAGGGGGCAAGCGUUGUUCGGAAUUACUGGGCGUAAAGGGCGCGUAGGCGGCCGCCUAAGUCAGACGUGAAAUCCCUCGGGCUCAACCGGGGAACUGCGUCUGAUACUGGGUGGCUUGGAAUCCGGGAGAGGGAUGCGGAAUUCCAGGUGUAGCGGUGAAAUGCGUAGAUAUCUGGAGGAACACCGGUGGCGAAGGCGGCAUCCUGGACCGGCAUUGACGCUGAGGAGCGAAAGCCAGGGGAGCAAACGGG